rnacentral:rRNA from 1 species
GACGAACGCUGGCGGCGUGCUUAACACAUGCAAGUCGAACGAAGUGGCGAACGGGUGAGUAAUACGUGGGUAACCUGCCCUCCUUUUUGGGAUAAGCCUUGGAAACGGGGUCUAAUACCGAAUAAAGGGGGAUGGGCUCGCGGCCUAUCAGCUUGUUGGUGGGGUGAUGGCCUACCAAGGCGGUGACGGUUAGCCGGCCUGAGAGGGUGACCGGCAAGUUUGGGACUGGGAUGCGCCCCAGACUCCUACGGUAGGCGGCAUUGGGGGAUAUUGCACAAUGGGCUAAAGCCGGAGGCGGCGGCGCCGCGGGGGGGAUGGAGGUUUUGGGUUUGUAACCCUUUUGCGCUAUCGAAGGGGUAGGUGGAGAAGAAGCGCCGGCUAACUACGUGCCAGCAGCCGCGGUAAUAC